rnacentral:sRNA from 10 species
UUUACAAAGGGUCUGUAAUCUGGCACAAUAUCUAAUCGCGUAGGUCUGACAAUAUCAGACCCAUUCUUAAAUUAAAGGAUGUCCAAGCGUG